CAAACAUGGAGUGUCUGGUUCAGUUAAGAAUAAGAAUAAGAACUUUAUUAAUCCCUGAAGGUAAAUUCAAUUGUCUGUUGUCUCACAUAAUAUGUCUCUAAAAGUUAUCUUCUAUUUACACAAGAGUUAUAAAGUCUAAUGGCUGUUGGUACUAAAGAUCUUCUGAAUUUUUCUGUCCUGCAGUGAAGAGAGAGGAGCCGUCCACCACCAUUGGCCCUUUGGUCCAUCAAGGUGUUAUGAAGUGGGUGAUCCAUGUUCUUUGGAAUAGUCUCCACCUUCCUCAGAGUAGAUCUCUCCUUCACAUCCUCCACUGAGUCCAGCUUGAGUCCAAUCACAGAGCCAG